rnacentral:rRNA from 1 species
UAAGGAAUAUUGGUCAAUGGACGCAAGUCUGAACCAGCCAUGCCGCGUGAAGGAUGAAGGUCCUCUGGAUUGUAAACUUCUUUUAUCUGGGACGAAAACGGGAUUUUUAUCUCAAUUGACGGUACCAGAGGAAUAAGCACCGGCUAACUCCGUGCCAGCAGCCGCGGUAAUACGGAGGGUGCGAGCGUUAUCCGGAUUUACUGGGUUUAAAGGGUGCGUAGGUGGGCUUAUAAGUCAGUGGUGAAAUCUCCGAGCUUAACUUGGAAACUGCCGUUGAUACUAUAGGUCUUGAAUUAUCUGGAGGUAAGCGGAAUAUGUCAUGUAGCGGUGAAAUGCUUAGAUAUGACAUAGAACACCAAUUGCGAAGGCAGCUUACUACAUAUAAAUUGACGCUGAGGCGCGAAAGCGUGGGGAGCAAACA